rnacentral:rRNA from 1 species
GCGGCGGCUUACACAUGCAAGUCGAGGGGUAGCAGGUUUAAAUUUCGGUUUAAAUGCUGACGACCGGCGCACGGGUGCGUAACGCGUAUACAAUCUACCUUAUACUGGAGGAUAGCCCUAAGAAAUUGGGAUUAAUACUCCAUAAUAUUAUUGAUCCGCAUGGAUUGAUUAUUAAAGCUACGGCGGUAUAAGAUGAGUAUGCGUCUGAUUAGCUAGUUGGUGAGGUAACGGCUCACCAAGGCUACGAUCAGUAGGGGGCCUGAGAGGGUUAUCCCCCACACUGGUACUGAGACACGGACCAGACUCCUACGGGAGGCAGCAGUGAGGAAUAUUGGUCAAUGGGCGCAAGCCUGAACCAGCCAUGCCGCGUGAAGGAAGAAUGUCCUAUGGAUUGUAAACUUCUUUUAUUUGGGAAGAAACCCCUCUACGUGUAGAGGUCUGACAGUACCAAAGGAAUAAGGACCGGCUAACUCCGUGCCAGCAGCCGCGGUAAUACGGAGGGUCCAAGCGUUAUCCGGAAUCAUUGGGUUUAAAGGGU